GUCCAGCCACGACAUGGCCACCGCCCUCCUAAGGAGAGUGGCCUCCGCCGUGGGCCCGCUGCUGCAGCUGGGGGGCCGCCCGCUUUCCGCGCUCGCGCAGGGCCCCCCGCGCGCCGGCCCUGCCACUCACACGCCCCCCGGCCUGGUUGCCACGCUCCUCGCCGCGCGCCCGGCGCUCGGCCUGCAGCCCGCCCUGGGCUUCAAGACCAAGGGCGUCCUCAAGAAGCGCUGCAAGGGCUGCUACCUGGUGAAGAGGCGCGGGCGCUGGUUCAUCUACUGCAAGACCAACCCAAAGCACAAGCAGAGACAGAUGUAGAAGCCCUGCCCGGGAGACGGUGCUGCCAUACGGAGAGGACAGUGGCACGUGAACACCCUGCAGCGUUCCACCGAGCAGACCCCCUGCGGCCUGGCCUGCGGCUCACCUCCUUGUGGCCCGGGACCCGACCAAGCCAGAGCCCCACCUGGAACCGGGGCCCUCCUACCUCCAGUGUGAACUCAGCUGUGUUGGUGCUCAGGCGGGCAGAUGGGCGUCCGGUGGAGGGAAAGCUGGCUUUGUCCAGUCAGAGGGCAUGUUCUUCCAAGGCUGCCCUGUCUCUGUUCAGCCACACCCACGCUGCAGCCUGUGGAUUCAGAUUCAUGUCCUCAGCAUUCCUGCCUCCAGGCACUACAGCCCCGGAUCACAGCACGACAGGAAGAUCAGCCGAGGUCAGGAGGCAGCAACCCGUGACGAUCUUUCAAGCACAGUGUGGACGCCGGGGGUCAAGAAGGAAGACACUAUAGACAGGCUUGCCCGGCAGGUGCACUCCACACCUGGUGGGAACAGCUGUUGCUCUCCUGCUCUGCUGCCCCGACACCCCUCCGUCUGCUCCAUGAAGUCCAGGAGUCAAUGGCUUCGUGAGAACGCACAUCAGCACUGCCCUCCGAUGGAAAGAGCAUCAGAUCCCCCAGGCUGGCGUGGCCUCGCCUCCCUCCUGCUGCGGAGAGGCCACCCGAGGCCCGGCUCUUGGUCCCCAAGGGGAGCCAGUCCCGGCCCUGAGGUUUCAAGUCCAGGGUACAGGGUCCCACUCUCAGGGUGGCUCCCUCCAUGCUGA
rnacentral:lncRNA from 1 species